UACGGGGGGGAGCAGGCGUUGUUCGGAUUUACUGGGCGUAAAGGGCGCGUAGGCGGUCAGCACAAGUCAGUUGUGAAAUCUCCGGGCUUAACUCGGAAAGGUCAACUGAUACUGUGCGACUAGAGUGCAGAAGGGGCAACUGGAAUUCUCGGUGUAGCGGUGAAAUGCGUAGAUAUCGAGAGGAACACCUGCGGCGAAGGCGGGUUGCUGGGCUGACACUGACGCUGAUGCGCGAAAGCCAGGGGAGCGAACGGG
rnacentral:rRNA from 1 species